CCGGACGCCGCGCACUACCUCCCUCGCAUUCGCCUCCGCUGGUGCCGCGGACGCCCGCACUGUCCCCGCCCCGCCCGCGGGUGCCGUGGGGGUCACCGUGCCUUAAAGCGGCCGCGUCCACUUCAGAGCCAGCGGACUCAGCAGACGGAGAGACCUGGGCCCUGGGUCCUACCCUCCCAUACCUGUGGGGUGACAUUCCAGGCUUUGGUUGCCGGGAAGGUGAGGGGAAGGCAGACAGGCGUCCAACGUGGACCCAGGAGCUAGGCCCAAGGCCACUCAUCCAUCACAGCCGUGUACCCCCAUGGACCCCCACUGCUUCCUGAGGGAAGUAGCAGGCGCUGGAGACUUGAGCAGCAUCCUCAGACUUCUGAGCCUAGGAGUGGCCUGGCAGGUGGUGAUCCAAGGCCUGUUCCCCACCCAGUCCCUGGUAACUUGAUUCUCACUUGGGUCACCCAAGUCCAAAAGGCAGGCAGGGAGAAGGAAGAAGAGUGUCUUUUGCCUCUUACCCUGCCUCUUCCCUGGGGCUUGGGCCACUGGUGAGGCCUGAGGGAGGUUACCCACAGGGAUAGGAAGGGUCAGGAUGGGGAUUCCACAGCAAAGAAGGCAGAGGUCGGGCAUUACAGCCAGAGAACAGAAAGGCGACGACCAUUUUAUUUUUCCCUGGCACGCUGGUGGCUCCAGGCCUGACGCGUCCCUGAGGCUUUCUUAUGCUUCUGGUCCAGCACCUGGGCUAUAUAGUUCUCCUGCUGCUUCUGGAUCCGGAAGUCAGACAUGUGAUUCCUGCAACGGAGCCAGCUGGGCGUGGGCUGGGGACAGCCCAGGGUAGGGGCCAGAAGUCUGGCUCCCCAAUUCCUUCAACAACCCCCAGCCUGACCCGAACCCCUCACCUGAAGAUCUCUUUCUGCUGGCUGAUAACAUGCUGCAACUCUUUAAUCUCAUUCUCUUUGCCAUUAAGUAUAUCUUCUUGCUUUAUAAUGUGAGACUCAAUUUCUGUGGGGGAGAGAGGCAGGGAGGAGUGGUUCCCAUCCCAUGGGCUCUUUCCUGAGAUAAGGAAUUCCCUCAUGGGUCUUUUCAGAACUUGGCUCCCUCCACCCAGGGGUUCUCCAUGAAUGGUUGCUAAUACCUUAGUAAGAAUGAGUCUUUUAUGGAGUCCUGAUGGGGUGGGGCUGGGGAGUCACAACAUUUUGAUGAAUGUAUCUGUGACUUCACAACUCUAUUCUAGACCAGGUGACUCACAUGAGGGCGUGCAAAGGCCCUUGGAGAGAGAUGGGCAAAGGCAAGAGGAUGAACAGCUCCUGCCCUCAACUCCUGCAGCUCUUUAGAGCUAUCACCUCCUUGGAGAGACCCUUCCUAUUCUAAAAUUACAACCCUUCCCAAUACUUUCCAUCCCUUUUUCCUGCUGUAUUUUUCUUCUUAGCACUUAUCUCACAAACCACGGAUUUUACUCACUUGUCUUUUCCCCUACUAGGAUGUAAGGUCCACAAAGACAAGGAUUUUUGUUUUAUUCACUGCCUUAACCCUAAUGCCUAAAACAGUAUCUGGCACAUAGUAGAUGCACAAUACAUUUAUUUGUGGAAUGAAUAAACAGGAUGUCCCCUGGGGGGUUAUGUCUCAGAAACAUCACCUAAUUCAGUCAUCUCAAUCCAACCAGACCUCCUGAAGGUCAGCUGGAUGCCCAGUUCUGUGCCAGGGCUUCAGGAGAGAAUACAGAGGAAUAAGGAGGAGCCAGAGAGAUAGAAUGACAAAACUUAUCCCCAAAUUAAGUGCUCAUUAGAUGCAAGGAUGAUUUUUGUGUCUUGGGUUAAAAUCCAAUGAGGCUGUAGGGAUCUGGGAUUGCUUCAUUUACACAACUAUCCCUCGGGGAGCACUCGAAAAUUCUGAUCCUCGAAGGAAGAAAAUCCUGCUGCCUUUAAAGGUUGGACAAAGAUUAACUAGAACAUAAACUCUAAAAAUGCAGAAAUGUUGAAGCAUUUAAGGUUUCAGAAGAGAAGAUAUGGUAAAAAGUUAAGGCAUAGCGUGGAAAAGAGGAGAGACACUGGUGAAGGAAAAGAAU